rnacentral:rRNA from 1 species
GAUGAACGCUGGCGGCGUGCCUAAUACAUGCAAGUCGAGCGAACAGACGAGGAGCUUGCUCCUCUGACGUUAGCGGCGGACGGGUGAGUAACACGUGGAUAACCUACCUAUAAGACUGGGAUAACUUCGGGAAACCGGAGCUAAUACCGGAUAAUAUAUUGAACCGCAUGGUUCAAUAGUGAAAGACGGUUUUGCUGUCACUUAUAGAUGGAUCCACGCCGCAUUAGCUAGUUGGUAAGGUAACGGCUUACCAAGGCAACGAUGCGUAGCCGACCUGAGAGGGGGCUCCGCCCCACUGGAACUGAGACACGGUCCAGCCUCCUACGGGAGGCAGCAGUAGGGAAUCUUCCGCAAUGGGCGAAAGCCUGACGGAGCAACGCCGCGUGAGUGAUGAAGUUCUUCGGAUCGUAAAACUCUGUUAUUCGGGAAGAACAAAUGUGUAAGUAACUAUGCACGUCUUGACGGUACCUAAUCAGAAAGCCACGGCUAACUACGUG